GAGAGCAUCCAGGACAGCUGGAGCAGCAAGGCCUGGGAAGCAGGGCCUGGGAGCACCUGACUUGCUUUGUGAGAAAGGACAACCAGGGCAGAUCUGGAGGAUCAAGCAACAGAGACAGGUGGAAACAGGCCCCAGUUUCCAGCAGAGAGAGAGGAAACUUCUCCCUCAGCGAGGAGCACACAAAGACCAGAAUUUCGACAGUUCCCUCACCUGUUACCAAACCCCAGAGGCUACAGAGUACACAGGGCACUUGACACACAAGAGAAAGAAGUAGUGAAGUCUGAGCAAGGAUCUGCCCCCGGCUCCCUGCACCUGCCUCCUAGAGCUACACAGAUGCCACCCAUCCGUGAAUGUUGAGAGAAGACCUCUGAAGUCCCCAAGCAAAGCACUCCAAAAGCCACAGAGCUGUCUGCGAGUCACAUGGCCAAACCUACUGGAAGCACCCAGGCAAGGGCUCCCAUCCCAACACAGAGAGCAGUCCCGGGAAGGUGGCCAGGGACUGGGGAGCGGCAUUCUCUCCGGAGUUCGGCAGCCCAGCAGUUAACAGGCUCGGGCUGGGCAAGCAACGAACUGCCACCAACAACCUCGGGAAUUAAAGCGCCCGCUGCCUCCUGCUGAAACCUCUUCAAUAAACGGUCC
rnacentral:lncRNA from 1 species